AGAACGAACGCUGGCGGCAGGCUUAACACAUGCAAGUCGAGCGCCCCGCAAGGGGAGCGGCAGACGGGUGAGUAACACGUGGGAACGUACCCUUUACUACGGAAUAACGCAUGGAAACGUGUGCUAAUACCGUAUGUGCCCUUUGGGGGAAAGAUUUAUCGGUAAAGGAUCGGCCCGCGUUGGAUUAGCUAGUUGGUGGGGUAAAGGCCUACCAAGGCGACGAUCCAUAGCUGGUCUGAGAGGAUGAUCAGCCACAUUGGGACUGAGACACGGCCCAAACUCCUACGGGAGGCAGCAGUGGGGAAUAUUGGACAAUGGGCGCAAGCCUGAUCCAGCCAUGCCGCGUGAGUGAUGAAGGCCCUAGGGUUGUAAAGCACUUUUAUCAGGAACGAAAUACUACGGGUUAAUAACCUGUGGGGCUGACGGUACCUGAGGAAUAAGCACCGGCUAACUUCGUGCCAGCAGCCGC
rnacentral:rRNA from 1 species